rnacentral:rRNA from 1 species
GGCCUAACACAUGCAAGUCGAGGGGUAUAUUUCUUCGGAGAUAGAGACCGGCGCACGGGUGCGUAACGCGUAUGCAAUCUGCCUUUCACAGAGGGAUAGCCCAGAGAAAUUUGGAUUAAUACCUCAUAGUAUUACAGGAUGGCAUCGUCCAGUAAUUAAAGUCACAACGGUGAAAGAUGAGCAUGCGUCCCAUUAGCUAGUUGGUAAGGUAACGGCUUACCAAGGCUACGAUGGGUAGGGGUCCUGAGAGGGAGAUCCCCCACACUGGUACUGAGACACGGACCAGACUCCUACGGGAGGCAGCAGUGAGGAAUAUUGGACAAUGGGCGCAAGCCUGAUCCAGCCAUGCCGCGUGCAGGAUGACGGUCCUAUGGAUUGUAAACUGCUUUUAUACGAGAAGAAACACUCCUUCGUGAAGGAGCUUGACGGUAUCGUAAGAAUAAGGAUCGG